GUUUCAUUUUCCACUCGGAUCUUGUGGAAGGAAUCAGUCAGGAACCUCUCCCUCUUCCUUUACUCCCUCUCCCUGAGCUCAGAUAUAAAAAGAAGGGUCACCGUUGGUUCUCUUCCACCGAGAAAAGAAAAGCUAAGCCACACUGAGUGUUCACUACAAACACUCAGAAUCUAGCAGGCUCUAAUGCAAGCCAGGUACUUCAUCUGAUGCUCAACCAAAGAGUCGUGAUGCUGUGAUGCUGGAGGAAAACCUAGCUGGGUUAGGCUUGCAGAAAAUGUCUUCCUGAAGAGCCUUCGAGGCUGGACCUUGGAUGUGUGGUGUGAGCCACCUCUAAUCAGAGGAUGACAGAGCCACACGGGAAAAGGAAGAAGGAAACAAGAGGCUUGGAUGAUUUCUUGGAGAGGAGCUAUCUACAACCUGGACCACGUGCCUGCCUCUGAAAUACCUCAAGAAAGAGAAAUAAACUCUUGUUUUGUUCAAGCUGCUAUG